rnacentral:rRNA from 1 species
AUUGAACGCUGGCGGCAGGCCUAACACAUGCAAGUCGAACGAGUGGCGGACGGGUGAGUAAUGUCUGGGAAACUGCCUGAUGGAGGGGGAUAACUGCUGGAAACGGUAGCUAAUACCGCAUACCAUCAGAUGUGCCCAGAUUGGAUGAGCUAGUUGGUGGGGUAACGGCUAACCAAGGCGACGAUCCCUAGCUGGUCUGAGAGGAUGACCAGCCACACGGGAACUGAGACACGGUCCAGACUCCUACGGGAGGCAGCAGUAGGGAAUAUUGCACAAUGGGCGCAAGCCUGAUACAGCCAUGCCGCGUGUAUGAAGAAGGCCUUCGGGUUGUAAAGUUCUUUCAGCGGGGAGGCGUUACCCGCAGAAGAAGCACCGGCUAACUCCGUGCCAGCAGCCGCGGUAAUUC